UACGGAGGGUGCAAGCGUUAUCCGGAAUCACUGGGUUUAAAGGGUGCGUAGGCGGUCUGGUAAGUCAGUUGUGAAAUUCCCCGGCUUAACCGGGUGGACUGCGAUUGAUACUGUUGGACUUGAAUCAGGUUGAGGUAGGCGGAAUGUGACAUGUAGCGGUGAAAUGCUUAGAUAUGUCAUAGAACACCGAUUGCGAAGGCAGCUUGCUGGGCUUAGAUUGACGCUGAGGCACGAAAGCGUGGGGAGCGAACAGG
rnacentral:rRNA from 1 species